AGUGAACGCUGGCGGUAGGCCUAACACAUGCAAGUCGAACGGCAGCACAGUAAGCGCUUGCUCUUACGGGUGGCGAGUGGCGGACGGGUGAGGAAUACAUCGGAAUCUACUUUUUCGUGGGGGAUAACGUAGGGAAACUUACGCUAAUACCGCAUACGACCUACGGGUGAAAGCAGGGGAUCUUCGGACCUUGCGCGAUUGAAUGAGCUGAUGUCGGAUUAGCUAGUUGGCGGGGUAAAGGCCCACCAAGGCAACGAUCCGUAGCUGGUCUGAGAGGAUGAUCAGCCACACUGGAACUGAGACACGGUCCAGACUCCUACGGGAGGCAGCAGUGGGGAAUAUUGGACAAUGGGCGAAAGCCUGAUCCAGCCAUGCCGCGUGAGUGAAGAAGGCCUUCGGGUUGUAAAGCCCUUUUGUUGGGAAAGAAAAGCAGCAGGUUAAUACCCCGCUGUUCUGACGGUACCCAAAGAAUAAGCACCGGCUAACUUCGUG
rnacentral:rRNA from 1 species